rnacentral:rRNA from 1 species
UUAAGACAUGCAAGUCGAACGGAUCAAAGUUGUAGCAAUACCGCUUUGGUCAGUGGCGCACGGGUGCGUAACACGUGAGUUACAUGCCCUGCAGUGGGGAAUAGCCCGCCGAAAGGCGGAUUAAUACCCCAUGGUCCCGCAAGGGUAAAGGUGGCGCAAGCUGCCGCUGUAGGAUUGGCUCGCGGCCUAUCAGCUAGUUGGUGAGGUAACGGCUCACCAAGGCGACGACGGGUACCUGGUCUGAGAGGAUGAUCAGGCACACUGGAACUGAGACACGGUCCAGACACCUACGGGUGGCAGCAGUCGAGAAUAAUUCACAAUGGGGGAAACCCUGAUGGUGCAACGCCGCGUGGAGGAUGAAGGUCUUCGGAUUGUAAACUCCUGUCAUCGGGGAGUAAGACCUGACGGUAAAUAGCCGGCAGGGUUGAUAGUACCCGAAGAGGAAGGGACGGCUAACUUCGUGCCAGCAGCCGCGGUAAUACGAAGGUCCCAAGCGUUGUUCGGAAUCACUGGGCGUAAAGGGAGCGUAGGCGGCGUGGUAAGUCAGAUGUGAAAUCCCGGGGCUCAACCCCGGAACUGCAUCCGAUACUGCCAUGCUUGAGGGUUGGAGAGGUAGCUGGAAUUCUCGGUGUAGCAGUGAAAUGCGUGGAUAUCGAGAGGAACACUCGUGGCGAAGGCGAGCUACUGGACAACAUCUGACGCUGAGGCUCGAAGGCCAGGGGAGCAAAAGGGAUUAGAUACCCCUGUAGUCCUGGCAGUAAACGGUGUGCGCUUGGUGUGAGGGGAUUCGACCCCCCUUGUGCCGGAGCUAACGCGUUAAGCGCACCGCCUGGGAAGUACGGCCGCAAGGCUAAAACUCAAAGAAAUUGACGGGGACCCGCACAAGCGGUGGAGUAUGUGGCUUAAUUCGAUGCAACGCGAAGAACCUUACCAAGGCUUGACAUGGAUUUCU